UUGCUGCCCUUCUUGGCGCUAUGUGUUUUAACCAAGGUCACCUUUCUGAGGAAGGUUGUUUCCCCAGGUAGGGAUUUUUCCCUGAAGUUAGGGAGGGAAUAAAAUCCCCUAAACUAAGUGCCAGUUGGGUAGUUAAUCGCCUUAAGGUGCAUCAUCUUUACUCCCUGGAAUGGAGAUAAGAAACGCCCUGACCUUUGGAAUAGAAAUUGAUAGGAUUAAAAUCACCUGGUAUAAAUACAGAUGUAACAAGACCAUAAAACACAGAACCUGGGUAAGUGGCCUUGUUCUCCACCUUUUCCCUUUUGGUUCUGCUGACGCUGCCCGGCUCUCCUCAGCCUCCGGCCCGCUCUCUCCUUGAGACCGAGCACCAUGCCUUCAAUUAAACUGCAGAAUUCUGAUGGAGAGAUAUUUGAAGUUGAUGUUGAAAUUGCCAAACAAUCUGUGACUAUCAAGACCAUGUUAGAAGAUUUGGGAAUGGAUGAUGAAGGCGAUGAUGACCCAGUUCCUCUACCAAAUGUUAAUGCGGCAACGUUAGAAAAGCUCAUUCAGUGGUGCACCCACCACAGGGAUGACCCUCCUCCUCCUGACGAUGGUGAGAACAAAGAAAAGCGAACAGAUGAUAUUCCUGCUUGGGACCAAGAAUUCCUCAAAGUUGACCAAGGAACACUAUUUGAACUAAUUCUGGCUGCAAACUAUUUAGACAUCAAAGGUUUGCUUGAUGUUACAUGCAAGACUGUUGCCAAUAUGAUCAAGGGGAAAAGCCCUGAAGAGAUUCGCAAGACCCUCAAUAUAAAGAAUGACUUUACUGAAGAAGAGGAAGCCCAGGUCCGCAAAGAGAACCAGUGGUGUGAAGAGAAGUGAAAAGUUGUGCCUG